AUUUAAAUAGCUUAAGUAGUAAGAGCAUGGUAUUGAAGAUACCAAGGUAGUUUUAAACUUUUAGAUA
rnacentral:tRNA from 1 species